rnacentral:rRNA from 1 species
CGGGGUGAGUAACACGUGGAUAAUCUGCCCUGCACAGGGGGACAACAGCUAGAAAUGGCUGCUAAUACCGCAUAAGCCUACAGCCUCGCAUGAGGGAGUAGGAAAAGAAAUUCGGUGCAGGAUGAGUCCGCGUCUGAUUAGCUAGUUGGAGGGGUAAGAGCCCACCAAGGCAACGAUCAGUAGCCGGCCUGAGAGGGCGACCGGCCACAUUGGGACUGAGACACGGCCCAAACUCCUACGGGAGGCAGCAG